AGGGAGACCUACCUUGGGGCAUCUGAGGGGAGUUAGACCACCCUCAAGCCAGCAAAGGUUAUCCCAGGUCGGUCGGGGUUGAAGGGAUGGUUGACUGGGGUUCUGGAGGGGAACCGAGGGGAGGGCUAUUAGCUCAGGUGGUUAGAGCGCACCCCUGAUAAGGGUGAGGUCCCUGGUUCGAGUCCAGGAUGGCCCACUGUUUGUCCUGGAGAAGGGAGAGCUAGCAAGCUAGAAGCGAGCUGGCCAAGCUGAGGGCAAAGCCAGAGGGUGGGUGCAGUCUGGAUUGGGGGUAUAGCUCAGCUGGUAGAGCGCUGCCUUUGCACGGCAGAAGUCAGCGGUUCGAGUCCGCUUACCUCCACCAC
rnacentral:tRNA from 1 species